CGCCGUUUUAAUUAUUAAUGUCUCUUCAACUACAAUAUUGUCACAGCUCGACUACCUUAAAUCACAAGGCGUGAGUGACACGAUAGUCUGCUUUUUCUCAGCUUCGCCUCCCCGUGUUCCUCUCCAUCCCUGCCUGUGAGCUUCAUCCUCUUUAUGUGCUUUUUUAUUUCAAAUGUGGCCAGAAUGAUUUUCUGCACUCUUUGGCCUCUUCAAAAACUCUUCUCUGAUCAUAAAUAUAUUAACUUGCUGGUUUUCAGAUGAUUUUACAGCUGAGACAUAUUUAUACUUGCUAUUUACUGCGAAAUGGCUCUGUGUAGCUGUUUGUACGCAGCAUUUUUCUCUCUUCAAAGUGUUUCGUUGUUCCUACUGUUUUGCCUUCCCUGUAUUAAUUUUAUUAAUUAAUUAAUUAAGUAAUGUAUUAAUACAUUAUAAAAUAUAUAAUUAAUUAAUAUGACCACAAGGUAUUGUCUCCAUAUUUCAGAAACUUCUGUUGCAGACUAAGCCUUAAUUUACUGGGAUUAAGUUUGUCAUUUAGUCGCAUCACUUCAUGACUCUUUUUAUUCAAAAUCAAUUCAACGCACAAACUGACACUUCGUGUGCUGCAUGUUUCGAUUUCAGCCUGUUUUUUUUCUUUUUGACUGCCGCAAUUUCCACGGAAUUCGUUGUCAUUUAAGUUGUAAAUACAUCAGUUUUGACGCAUUUGAAAAUUUCCCCAAAUGCUAUUUUGAUAUCUUUUCUUUCCUGUUAGUAAAUGUGCCGGGAGGUGUAAGCAGGGGUGUCAGACGGCUUUGCCUUAUUACAGCCUGGUAAAAACAUGAUCAUUUUACUGAUAUGCAUCUGUGCGGAGGUGUGCGAACGACCAUGGAUGUCAGUGCGGUAUAUAAUGGAGUGGAUGUAAUAAUUCAUGCAAUAAUGAUUCAUGAGGUCGCUGUUCACCCGCAGUGUCGCGAAUGUCGAGACGAAGACGGUUUCACACAUUCGGGUGUCACGCAUCAGAAUUUGGGAUUGUUCUGCAGCUUGUUGCCUCUUACGCUCCAGCGGCUGCACCUGGUUGCCAUGGUGCCCUGACACUUGCAUAUGGUUACAGUAAACAAGCAUCUAGUCGCCAUAGCUCCCGUUUCCCUUUCGAAACACCUUCUUCGCUGCGAGAAGGUGCAAACGGGGAUGGAGAGAGAAGGAGAACCAUCAGACGCAACAGCUCUUUGGCUCUCUGCUGCGUUCUCUGCUCCGGGAAGCGCCACACGCUGUUCAGAAAUACGCGGCGUUUGACCGGCGAAGCUCCGGGACUCAAAAGUGGGUUCAAAGGGGGGUUCGGGUGAGAACAGGAGAACUCGGAUGGAGCUCGGAGACGACCGUACUGGAAAUGAAUAAAAUACAACAUCACAGUGCUGCUUGAAAGUAU
rnacentral:lncRNA from 1 species